UGUUUGGUUGUCAUAGAAAUUAUAAAAAAAAUUUUUUUUUAUGCUCCUCAAAAAAAGUGAGCAUUUUCUAGGGCUUCACUCAAGAUCGAGAUUAUAUUGGUGUUGUCUUGUUCUCGUCUUGACUCAUCAAGACUUAUCAAGACGAUAUUAUAGAUGACAAUUCAAGACCAAGACCAAUAUCAUUAAAAAUAUCUUGCUAAGUCUUGACAAGACUUAUAAAUACAAUGACUAUUCGUAUGAAUUUCAAGUAUUAACGUCUGUAAGCAGUAUAUGGAAUGCGUUAUAUGUGUAGUGUAUACUUGAUACUCUUUGUCUAUUUAGAAUAUCAUUCAGUUACUUUCUAACAUUUGAAGAAAAGAGACAUAUUGUUUAUCGUUGUCGUAUUGAUAAAAUUUUUGAUAAGUUUAUAUUACUGUUUUUGAGCAAUUAUUGAAAAAAAUUCAACAAAAAAUAUGAGUGGAAUAAAACGGAAGUGGGCUGAACUGAAUAACGAAAAUGAUAGUGACAUGUUAGAUCAACCAAGUGCUGUUGAGGUGACGAGAAAAACCGUAGUGAGUGUUAAAGCAUCAAAAUUUACUAGUUAUUUCCGCUACGAAUUACAUAAAAAUGAUAAAGUGGCCAUUUGUUUGGAAUGUGAAAAAGAAAGAAUCAAAAUCCUAUUAAAAAGGAAAAAUAGUAAUACAACAACGAUGAAAAAACACUUAGAAAAAAGUCAUCCCGAUAUUUAUACAAAUAUGUUUGGAGAUACGAAGACAUAACUUGAAACUGGACAACAGAUGUUGAAUAAUUUUUGCUCAUUAGAAGCUAAAAUCGAGGAUAUAGAUAUAAAUACUCUAUUGAUCGAAUGGAUUGUUAUAAAAAAAUUACCAUUUAGUUUUUUUGACGAUGACUAUACCAAAAAGCUAUUUAGCUUAUUGAAUAGCACCAUUAUUUUACCAAAACGAAAUGCUGCACGGCGACUUAUGGUCGAACAAUUUAAAAAAACCAAGCUUACUGUUGCAAAUAUAUUACAAAACAAUUCCUCAAAUCUAUCUUUUACGAUCGAUGGAUGGUCAUCGUUGAAUGGAAAGUCUUAUUAUGGUAUUACAGCACAUUUUAUUGAUGAUAAUUAGGAAAUUCAAUCUUUGGCAUUGGAUUUUAUUCCAUCUGAAAGCAAUCAUACAGGAAAAGCAAUCGCUACAAUGUUUCUUAAAGUACUACAAAGUUUCAACAUUGAACAUAAAGUACAGGGUGUAACUAUGGAUAAUGUGUCUGCAAAUACUGUUUUUAUGACUGAACUAAAAGAGAUGAUGGAUAAACAAAACAUUGCUUUUGAUAACACUAGUCAACACUUCAGAUGUUUCGCUCACAUUUUACAUUUAGGAGUUCAAGAUAUUUUAAAAUAUCUAAAAGUAGAUAUAUCUGCUGAAGAUUUUAUUGAAUCUAUUCAUUCGCCAAAAUUCGAAGCUUCUGAAGAAGAGAUUCAAGAAAACUUAGUGGAUGGAUUUGCUGAUGAUGACAACGAUAAUAAGAAUAAUGAAUAUUCUGCUAAGUACACCGAUUCCAUAUUAAAGUUGCGAAAGAUAUUUGUAAAACUACGUCUAUCGGAAAAACUUCAAAUUAAAUUACAAGAGUUUUGUAAAGUUAGUAAUAUUACAUAUUUCAAACCAAUAUUAGAUGUUCGUACAAGAUGGAACAGCACAUUUGAUAUGAUAGAUAUUGGAUUAAAAUUAAAGAAAGCUUUGGCUUUACUGUGCGUAAGUUGUAUAAAAGAACUAUCUGCUUUGAAAUUGAGCGAUUCUGAAUGGGAACUUUUAGAGCAAGUCUAUAAAUAUUUAAAACAUUUUUAAAAAAUAUCAACUCUACUCGAAGGUGAAAAAUAUGUGACUUUACCCAUAGUUGUUGUGGCAUUCAAUAUGUUAAUCGACAAACUUGAACAACACAUUGUAAUUUUAGACAAAAAAAAACGAACAGAAGUAGAAGAUAUUUAAACUGUCGCACUUAAAACUGGACGAGAUAAAAUGCUGAAGCAUUAUUAUAAAUGUAAUUGGGUAUAUUGUGCAGUAUUGAUAUUGGAUCCUCGUCAUAAAUUAAAAACUUUUGAUCGUACAACGUGGGGAAGGGAAAUGAAAGAAACAUCACUUGAGGAAUUUGAAAAAAUUUUCAAAAAAAAAUAUUCUGCGAUAGACGACGUUGAUAACAUUAUUGAAGACGAAUCAGAUACUGAGUAUGAUAUAGAUGAAAUUGACAUCGGCUCUAUUUUUGAGAAACCAAAAAAAAUGAAUCGCUGGGAUGGUGAGUUGACGGAGUAUCUGAGUUUACCAUUAAUGAGUAAAGACACUAAAAUAUUGGAUUGGUGGAAAACUUGGGAUAAAAAUUUUCCUUCGUUAGCUAAAAUGGCAAAGGAUCUUUUUUCCAUAAUGGCGACAUCGGUACCUUGUGAAAGGUUUUUUUCACAAGCUAAUUUAACCAUAACGAAAACCAGAAACUCACUGAAUAAUGAGUCAGUGCAGGCAUUGUAAUGUUUAAAUUCAUGGCUUACAUGUAGCCUAAAAAAUAAAAUUAAAAGUAUAACUUUUAAAAAUGAUAAUUAACAUUAUCAACUUUUUUAACUCUGUGAUCAAUAAUUAAUUGCUUACGGCAAUGUAAUACACUAUAUGUAGAAUUGAUUAUUAAUGAUCUUAGGUUAUUAACUUAAGCUUAUGUAAUUUUUAUUUUUUUG